UACGUAGGGUGCAAGCGUUGUCCGGAAUUAUUGGGCGUAAAGAGCUCGUAGGCGGUCUGUCGCGUCUGCUGUGAAAACUCAGGGCUUAACCCUGAGCUUGCAGUGGGUACGGGCAGACUAGAGUGCGGUAGGGGAGACUGGAAUUCCUGGUGUAGCGGUGAAAUGCGCAGAUAUCAGGAGGAACACCGGUGGCGAAGGCGGGUCUCUGGGCAGCUACUGACGCUGAGGAGCGAAAGCGUGGGGAGCGAACAGG
rnacentral:rRNA from 1 species